UGCCAGCAGCCGCGGUAAUACUGAAGGCCCGAGCGUUAAUCGGAAUCACUGGGCUUAAAGGGUGCGCAGGCGGAUUCGCAGGCAUCUCGUGAAAUCCCACGGCUCAACCGUGGAACUGCGGGGUGAACCGCGAGUCUUGAGGCAAGUAGGGGUCAGUAGAACCAUGGGUGGAACGGUGAAAUGUGUAGAUAUCCAUGGGAACGCCAAUGGCGAAGGCAGCUGACUGGGCUUGUCCUGACGCUCAGGCACGAAAGCGUGGGGAGCGAACGGGAUUAGAUA
rnacentral:rRNA from 1 species